rnacentral:rRNA from 1 species
CAAGUAAUUAAGUGCAUGUGGUGGAUGCCUUGGCAGUCAGAGGCGAUGAAAGACGUGAUAGCCUGCGAAAAGCUCCGGGGAGGCGGCAAAUAUCCUUUGAUCCGGAGAUGUCUGAAUGGGGGAACCCACCUACUUUAAGGUAGGUAUUGCAACAUGAAUACAUAGUGUUGCAAGGCGAACGAGGGGAAGUGAAACAUCUCAGUACCCUUAGGAAAAGAAAUCAAUUGAGAUUCCCUCAGUAGCGGCGAGCGAACGGGGAUCAGCCCAUUAAGUUAUGUGUGUUUUAGUGGAACGCUCUGGGAAGUGCGAACGUAGAGGGUGAUAUUCCCGUACACGAAAGGGCACACAUAAUGAUGACGAGUAGGGCGAGGCACGUGAAACCUUGUCUGAAUAUGGGGGGACCAUCCUCCAAGGCUAAAUACUCCUGACUGACCGAUAGUGAACCAGUACCGUGAGGGAAAGGCGAAAAGAACCCCUGUGAGGGGAGUGAAAUAGAUCCUGAAACCGCAUGCAUACAAGCAGUGGGAGCACCUUCGUGGUGUGACUGCGUACCUUUUGUAUAAUGGGUCAGCGACUUAUAUUCAGUAGCGAGGUUAACCGUAUAGGGGAGCCGUAGAGAAAUCGAGUCUUAAUAGGGCGUUUAGUUGCUGGGUAUAGACCCGAAACCAGGCGAUCUAUCCAUGAGCAGGUUGAAGGUUGGGUAACACUAACUGGAGGACCGAACCCACUGUCGUUGAAAAGCCAGGGGAUGACUUGUGGAUAGGGGUGAAAGGCUAAUCAAGCCUGGUGAUAGCUGGUUCUCCCCGAAAGCUAUUUAGGUAGCGCCUCGGACGAAUACCAUAGGGGGUAGAGCACUGUUUCGGCUAGGGGGUCAUCCCGACUUACCAAACCGAUGCAAACUCCGAAUACCUAUGAGUACUAUCCGGGAGACAGACUGCGGGUGCUAACGUCCGUAGUCAAGAGGAAAACAAUCCAGACCGCCAGCUAAGGCCCCAAAAUCAUAGUUAAGUGGGAAACGAUGUGGGAAGGCAUAGACAGCUAGGAGGUUGGCUUAGAAGCAGCCACCCUUUAAAGAAAGCGUAAUAGCUCACUAGUCGAGUCGGCCUGCGCGGAAGAUGUAACGGGGCUAAAACUAUGUGCCGAAGCUGCGGAUGUAUACUUUGUAUACGUGGUAGGGGAGCGUUCUGUAAGCCGAUGAAGGUGUGUUGAGAAGCAUGCUGGAGGUAUCAGAAGUGCGAAUGCUGACGUGAGUAACGACAAAACGGGUGAAAAACCCGUUCGCCGAAAGACCAAGGGUUCCAGUCCAACGUUAAUCGGGGCUGGGUGAGUCGACCCCUAAGGCGAGGCCGAAAGGCGUAGUCGAUGGGAAAAUGGUUAAUAUUCCAUUACUUCUGUGUAAUGCGAUGAGAGGACGGAGAAGGCUAAAUCAGCCUGGCGUUGGUUGUCCAGGUGAAAGGAUGUAGGCAUGUAUCUUAGGCAAAUCCGGGGUACUCUAUGCUGAGAUCUGAUAGCAAGCUGUACUUGUACAGCGAAGUGGUUGAUGCCAUGCUUCCAGGAAAAGUCUCUAAGCUUCAGUUACACAGGAAUCGUACCCGAAACCGACACAGGUGGUCAGGUCGAGUAGACCAAGGCGCUUGAGAGAACUCUGCUGAAGGAACUAGGCAAAAUGGUACCGUAACUUCGGGAGAAGGUACGCUGUUGUUGGUGAUGGAACUCGCUUCCUGAGCUGACGACAGCCGCAGAAACCAGGCCGCUGCAACUGUUUAUUAAAAACAUAGCACUCUGCAAACACGAAAGUGGACGUAUAGGGUGUGAUGCCUGCCCGGUGCUGGAAGGUUAAUUGAUGGGGUUAGCGUAAGCGAAGCUCUUGAUCGAAGCCCCAGUAAACGGCGGCCGUAACUAUAACGGUCCUAAGGUAGCGAAAUUCCUUGUCGGGUAAGUUCCGACCUGCACGAAUGGCAUAAUGAUGGCGGCGCUGUCUCCAGCAGAGGCUCAGUGAAAUCGAAAUCGCUGUGAAGAUGCAGUGUACCCGCGGCUAGACGGAAAGACCCCGUGAACCUUUACUGCAGCUUGACACUGAACUUUGACCUUACUUGUGUAGGAUAGGUGGGAGGCUUUGAAGCUGGAACGCUAGUUCCAGUGGAGCCGUCCUUGAAAUACCACCCUGGUAAUGUUGAGGUUCUAACUCUGUCCCGUGAUCCGGGACGAGGACCGUGUCUGGUGGGUAGUUUGACUGGGGCGGUCUCCUCCUAAAGAGUAACGGAGGAGUACGAAGGUGCGCUCAGCGUGGUCGGAAAUCACGCGUAGAGUAUAAAGGCAAAAGCGCGCUUAACUGCGAGACCCACAAGUCGAGCAGGUACGAAAGUAGGUCUUAGUGAUCCGGUGGUUCUGUAUGGAAGGGCCAUCGCUCAACGGAUAAAAGGUACUCUGGGGAUAACAGGCUGAUACCGCCCAAGAGUUCAUAUCGACGGCGGGGUUUGGCACCUCGAUGUCGGCUCAUCUCAUCCUGGGGCUGAAGCAGGUCCCAAGGGGAUGGCUGUUCGCCAUUUAAAGAGGUACGCGAGCUGGGUUUAGAACGUCGUGAGACAGUUCGGUCCCUAUCUACCGUGGGCGCUGGAAAUUUGAGAGGAUCUGCUCCUAGUACGAGAGGACCAGAGUGGACGAACCUCUGGUGUACCGGUUGUGACGCCAGUCGCAUCGCCGGGUAGCUAUGUUCGGAAGGGAUAACCGCUGAAAGCAUCUAAGCGGGAAGCCUACCUCAAGAUAAGAUUUCCCUAGGACUUUAUGUCCUCUAAAGAGCCGUUCGAGACUAGGACGUUGAUAGGUUGGAUGUGGAAGCAUAGUGAUAUGUGAAGCUGACCAAUACUAAUUGCUCGUGAGGCUUGACUA